rnacentral:rRNA from 1 species
GAUGAACGCUGGCGGCGUGCCUAAUACAUGCAAGUCGAGCGAAUGGAUUGAGAGCUUGCUCUUAUGAAGUUAGCGGCGGACGGGUGAGUAACACGUGGGUAACCUGCCCAUAAGACUGGGAUAACUCCGGGAAACCGGGGCUAAUACCGGAUAACAUUUUGAACCGCAUGGUUCGAAAUUGAAAGGCGGCUUCGGCUGUCACUUAUGGAUGGACCCGCGUCGCAUUAGCUAGUUGGUGAGGUAACGGCUCACCAAGGCAACGAUGCGUAGCCGACCUGAGAGGGUGAUCGGCCACACUGGGACUGAGACACGGCCCAGACUCCUACGGGAGGCAGCAGUAGGGAAUCUUCCGAAAUGGACGAAAGUCUGACGGAGCAACGCCGCGUGAGUGAUGAAGGCUUUCGGGUCGUAAAACUCUGUUGUUAGGGAAGAACAAGUGCUAGUUGAAUAAGCUGGCAUCUUGACGGUACCUAACCAGAAAGCCACGGCUAACUACGUGCCAGCCGCCGCGGUAA